ensembl:lncRNA
UCUUAAACAGGAUUGCUCCACUGAAGAAGAGAAAACUACAAACCAGAAGAGGCUAGCUCCGUGGUACAACUCAAACAUCCGAUCACUGAAACGGAUUACACGUAGGAUGGAGAGGAUGUGGCAGUCCUCUAAAUCAGAUGACUCCCGGAGGGCCUGGAGAGACAGUCUGCUGACGUAUAAGAAGGCCCUUCGUAAAGCCAGGACAGCCUACUAUUCAUCACUAAUAGAAGAAAACAAGAACAACCCGCGCUUUCUCUUUAACGCCGUGGCCAGGCUGACAAAGAGCCACAGCUCUGUGGAGCCGCGCAUUCCUGCAGCUCUUAGUAGUGAAGACUUCAUGAGCUUCUUCACUGAUAAAAUCACCACUAUUAGAGGACAAAUCAACCACAAUCUCUCUGUGACCGCUGAGGAUACACCGCCACUUCUGGAAACGGAUCCUGAUCUAACUCUGGACUGCUUCGCGCCCAUCGGCCUCCCUGAGCUGACCACCAGCAUCAGCAAGUCUAAACCUACUACCUGUCUUCUGGAUCCGAUCCCUUCACAGCUCCUCAAGGAUGCUAUUCCUCUGAUCGGAGACUCUAUAUUAGGACAGAUCAACUUGUCUCUGGAAACAGGAUAUGUACCACAGGCUUUUAAAACUGCUGUGAUCAUUCCGAUACUUAAAAAACCUUCACUGGACCCGGACGUCCUAGGAAACUACAGACCGAUCUCCAACCUCACCUUUAUCUCCAAACUACUUGAAAGAGCUGUUGUAAGUCAGCUAAACGACCACCUGUGUAGUAACAGUCUGUUUGAUGCUUUCCAGUCUGGUUUCAGAGCCCAUCACAGCACAGAAACAGCACUGCUUAAAGUCACCAAUGACCUCCUCAUGGCAUCGGACCGGGGUCUCGUCUCUGUACUCGUUCUACUGGAUCUCAGUGCUGCCUUCGACACCGUAGACCAUCGCAUCCUGCUACACAGAUUGGAACACGAGAUCAGGAUUACAGAACAGCACUGCGCUGGUUUAAAUCAUAUUUAUCUGACAGAUUUCAUUUUGUUCACACUAACGAUGUGUCUUCCACAGGUACAAGGGUUAACCACGGUGUUCCACAGGGUUCUGUGCUCGGACCGAUCCUG